rnacentral:rRNA from 1 species
CAGUCGCCGCGGUAAUACGGAGGGUGCAAGCGUUAUCCGGAUUUAUUGGGUUUAAAGGGUCCGUAGGCGGACUUAUAAGUCAGUGGUGAAAGCCUGUCGCUUAACGAUAGAACUGCCAUUGAUACUGUAAGUCUUGAGUAUAUUUGAGGUAGCUGGAAUAAGUAGUGUAGCGGUGAAAUGCAUAGAUAUUACUUAGAACACCAAUUGCGAAGGCAGGUUACCAAGAUAUAACUGACGCUGAGGGACGAAAGCGUGGGUAGCGAACAGGAUUAGAUACCCGGGUAGUCCCUGUCUCUUAUAC